GACGAACGCUGACGGCGUGCUUAACACAUGCAAGUCGAAGGGAGUGGCGAACGGGUGAGUAACACGUGAGUAACCUGCCCUUUUCUUUGGGAUAAGCCUGGGAAACUGGGUCUAAUACUGGAUGGAUUGGGAUGGGCUCGCGGCUUAUCAGCUUGUUGGUGGGGUGAUGUCUGACCAAGGCUUUGACGGGUAGCCGGCCUGAGUGGGGGGUCUGUCACACAGGGACGGAGAUACGGCCCAGGGUCGUACGGGGGGCAGAAGUGGGGGAUAUUGCACAAUGGACGAAAGUCGGAUGCAGCGACGUCGUGUGGGGGAUGAAGGCUUUCGGGUUGUAAACUCCUUUCGGCAGCGGAAUGGUAGUGGGUAAAGAAGCGCCGGCUAACUACGUGCCAGCAGCCGCGGUAAUAC
rnacentral:rRNA from 1 species